UACGAAGGGGGCUAGCGUUGCUCGGAAUCACUGGGCGUAAAGCGCACGUAGGCGGCUUGUUAAGUCAGGGGUGAAAUCCUGGAGCUCAACUCCAGAACUGCCUUUGAUACUGGCAAGCUUGGAGUCCGGGAGAGGUGAGUGGAGCUGCGAGUGUAGAGGUGAAAUUCGUAGAUAUUCGCAAGAACACCAGUGGCGAAGGCGGCUCACUGGCCCGGUACUGACGCUGAGGUGCGAAAGCGUGGGGAGCAAACAGG
rnacentral:rRNA from 1 species